UCAUUGUUCUUCUUAUUUCUUUUAGGUACGGUCAUAAAAUUUGCAGGUAUGAUGUUUGUGUUCUAAAAUACUGUCCCUCUUUCGGUAAACCCUAAUACACCAAUCAAUCUGCCUGGCGAUUCUUCUCCUUAAGCCCUGGUAUACAAACCCUAAUUAUAUUGAUUCAGCUGCUCUUGUGUUAUCUCUUCUCAUCAUUCAUCCAUCUGUGAAUCAUCGGAUCUUUACAUCCGAUUUCAACAGAUUUAAAAAGUUGAUGAAACAUUCGUACCUUCAAGUAGCACCAAAUUUGGCAAAAAUUGUGAUAUCUACAGCCAUAUGGUACCCACUUGAUGCAUGCAUGUCGCUUUCUUCGUCUCAAAGGUGUGUUUUUCUGACAAAUGUGCAUUUGUUUUUUUUUAUUAGGGUUUUUAUAAUCCUCUAAUCGAUUUGAUGUUGAAUGUUCAUUUGUAAGGUAUGUUUCAUUAUCGUUUAACAUCCUAUUUCUUGAAAAUGAAUUGCUGUGAGUAAACGGUCACCAUUUUAGAGGUGGCAAUUAUGACCCUAUUUAUUCAUGAAAAGGUUGAUUCUUGUAAACGUUUACUUGUAAUGCAUAAAACCUCUCAUAUCAUUUUAUUGAAAAAGUUGGAUAGUUAUUGAAAAUAGUGAAGUUUUGUAUAGGACACUAAUUAUUUACAAAGAAUUUAAAAGUCUGGACAAAAAGUAUUAUCUGUAUACAAGACCUGCACAUUUGACAAUUGAUGCUCAUCAUUGUCAUUACAAUUCAUUUUAUCUUUUUUUUGUACGUGUUAGAUAUGGUUAAGUGAAAGCUGCACAAUUUUACAGGUUAUAAACCUGCGUUCUAUUCGACCACUAGAUAGAGCUACAAUCAAUACUUCAGUUAGAAAAACUAACUGUUUGCUCACCGUUGAGGAGGGGUUCCCUUAACAUGGCAUUGGUGCUGAGAUCUGUGCAUCGGUUGUUGAAGAUAGCUUUGGUUAUCUCGAUGCACCAGUCGAGAGGAUUGCAAGGGCCGAUGUUCCCACACCUUACGCUGCCAAUCUCGAGAGAAUGGCUUUCCCUCAGGUAAAAGAUCGUGCUUUUAGUUUACUAAACUUGUGGGUUACAUCCGCGCUCUGCGGCAAGAUGACCUGGUCCCGAACACUCAAUACGCUUUAAAUGGAGCUUCCAUCUUGACUUCUUUUGGCCACUUUUUGCUUAUGCAUAUAUACAUACACACACUGUUCUAUUUAAUGUUUAUAUAUGUCUGUGUAACGUCUCUAUAUAGUUGACUACAAAAUUCAGUCAUAUUGUCAAUACAAAGGACCGUAUGGUAGAUUAAUAUGAAAUAGUUUUCUAAUAUAA